AUUUUUGUAGUUAAAUACAUAACAUGAGCUUUUCAUGCUCAAAUUCUUGAUGAUCAGGCAAAAAUU
rnacentral:tRNA from 1 species